GUAGGUGGCAAGCGUUGUCCGGGAAUUAUUGGGGCGUAAAGCGCGCGCAGGCGGUUCUUUAAGUCUGAUGUGAAAGCCCACGGGCUCAACCGUGGAGGGUCAUUGGAAACUGGAGAACUUGAGUACAGAAGAGGAAAGCGGAAUUCCACGUGUAGCGGUGAAAUGCGUAGAGAUGUGGAGGAACACCAGUGGCGAAGGCGGCUUUCUGGUCUGUAACUGACGCUGAGGCGCGAAAGCGUGGGGAGCAAACAGGAUUAGAUACCCUGGUAGUCCACGCCGUAAACGAUGAGUGCUAAGUGUUAGGGGGUUUCCGCCCCUUAGUGCUGCAGCUAACGCAUUAAGCACUCCGCCUGGGGAGUACGGCCGCAAGGCUG
rnacentral:rRNA from 1 species